CUAUAUUGUGUACUGAUCUUUUUUUCUUUUCAACUCGACUUCCUCUCAGCUUCCAAAAUUCUCCAGCGAUCAGCGCAAAGUGACGAAAAUUUGAAAUCUACUGCGAAACCCCAAUCUCUCCGCUUCUCGUAGACUCGCAUGCCGAAUUCCAUUUUAUAUCUUCUGAGGUCUUUUUCUCCUCUCUGUGCGCCGCCAUUAAUUGCUCUAUUUAACUGUUAAGUUCAUGAGGAGGUGGACUUGCAAGUCUUGCAUUUUCAUCCACCAAAUUACUGAAAGAGGACUUGGAUUUAUUUAUUUGUAUUUUUUAUUUUUGUUCUUUUUUCUAACUUUCUAUGUGCUGAAUCUGCUGAUUGGUACAUUUUAUUCUCUUUUCGGAUCAUCAUUUUCGUAAGUAAAAUGGUUUAAUAGAUGUCUCUGCUUUGCUUGAUUACUUCCAUUUCAUCCCAAAUCACUGAAAUCAGCGCGAACCGUAGGUUUUUGACAUUUUGUUCUCCAAAUCAAUUUCUGCAAUUGGGAAAUGGAAAGUUGCAUCCUCGUCGUAGUAUUUUCCAACAAGGAGUCUCUCAUUUGAAAUUGACAUUUGAAGAACAAUUAUGGUUGGUUUAGCUGGUAUCUGGAAGUUGUAGGGAACACAUGUUCUUGAUGCCCAUUUUUGAAUUGUAGUGGUCCUUUUUUUUUUUUUUUUUUUUUUUUUUUUUUUUUUUUUUUUUUUUUUUGGCAUAUUGUUACUUGUUAGCGUAAAGAAGUAGGGAUAUAGGUGUGGGGAUGUUAGGAUGUUGGUGUAUUGUUAGUGUGGAGAUGUACUGAUGUAGAGUUUGUUCUAGUUUAUAAAUUCCAGUUUGUAAUUGAAUGGCGAAAUAGGAAUUCCAGUUUAUGAUUGGGCAGUUUGUUGGUGUACUGUUAUGUGAAGGUUUGAUUUAUGGAGUUUCGUUGUUUGAAUUGACAGUGUAGUUUAUGACUGCUGUGAAGUGUGAACUUAUUGCAGGUUAUUUUUCCUAAUUUUUGAACUGGCUAUGAAAAUCAUAAGCAGUGUUAACCAAUGAUGCACUUCAAGUUUUCAAGAAACAAUGCAUUUCUUCAUCAUUUAUGUUGGUAUUGCUCGGGUGUAGUUUAAAUGUUAUUUGGUCAUUUCUUGCAGGUUGAUUGUUGAACUCCUUCUGUUAUGACCCACUCACUCAUAGUCAAAGUCAAGAAAAUUAUUUACUCAAAGUCCAAAAUUCAAUUGGUCAAAGUCAAUCUCAAAUAGAGAUUUAAAUGAAAUAAAUUAUUUUAUUGGGGUUUAAUUUAUUAUGAAAAAUAGUUAAAGGUUUGAAAUGGAUAAAACUUAAUUUUAGGGAUCUACUUAUAUAUUAUUGGAAGUAAAGGACUAGAUGUUAUAUUAAAUUGAAGAAUAAG
rnacentral:lncRNA from 1 species